AAGACUAUACUUUCAGGGAUCAUUUCUAUAGUCAUUGACUUGGAAAUGCGUUUUGAAAAAGUUGAGUCUCGCUAGCCUCGAUGACGAGAUGCAGUGUCCCUCUCUGAGCGCGAAUCGUAUAGAGAUAUAUGACUUUGGUCAUAGAAUUUCUAUUAUUGAUGACCGUCCCUAUUGAUCUUUGGUCGUAGGGGGAAGGGGCAUGUUCAAAGCGGU